GACGAACGCUGGCGGCGUGCUUAACACAUGCCAGUCGAACGGAAAGGCCCUGCUUUUGUGGGGUGCUCGAGUGGCGAACGGGUGAGUAACACGUGAGUAACCUGCCCUUGACUUUGGGAUAACUUCAGGAAACUGGGGCUAAUACCGGGUAGGAGCUCCUGCUGCAUGGUGGGGGUUGGAAAGUUUCGGCGGUUGGGGAUGGACUCGCGGCUUAUCAGCUUGUUGGUGGGGUAGUGGCUUACCAAGGCUUUGACGGGUAGCCGGCCUGAGAGGGUGACCGGCCACAGUGGGACUGAGAUACGACCCAGACUCCUACGGGAGGCAACAGUGGAGAAUAUUGCACAAUGGGCGGAAGCCUGAUGCAGCAACGCCGCGUGCGGGAUGACGGCCUGCGGGUUGUAAACCGCUUUCGCCUGUGACGAAGCGUGAGUGACGGUAAUGGGUAAAGAAGCACCGGCUAACUACGUG
rnacentral:rRNA from 1 species